UACGGAGGGUGCAAGCGUUUCUCGGAAUCACUGGGCGUAAAGAGCGUGUAGGCGGUUUCGUAUGUCUGGCGUGAAAGCCCCGGGCUCACCCCGGGAACUGCGCUGGAAACUGCGAGACUAGAGUCCCGGAGAGGAAGGUGGAAUUCCAGGUGGAGCGGUGAAAUGCGUAGAUAUUUGGAAGAACACCGGUGGCGAAGGCGGCCUUCUGGACGGUGACUGACGCUGAGACGCGAAAGCGUGGGGAGCAAACAGG
rnacentral:rRNA from 1 species